rnacentral:rRNA from 1 species
UCUUAACUCUGUCGGCGUGCCUAAUACAUGCAAGUCGAGCGAACAGACGAGGAGCUUGCUCCUCUGACGUUAGCGGCGGACGGGUGAGUAACACGUGGAUAACCUACCUAUAAGACUGGGAUAACUUCGGGAAACCGGAGCUAAUACCGGAUAAUAUAUUGAACCGCAUGGUUCAAUAGUGAAAGACGGUUUUGCUGUCACUUAUAGAUGGAUCCGCGCCGCAUUAGCUAGUUGGUAAGGUAACGGCUUACCAAGGCAACGAUGCGUAGCCGACCUGAGAGGGUGAUCGGCCACACUGGAACUGAGACACGGUCCAGACUCCUACGGGAGGCAGCAGUAGGGAAUCUUCCGCAAUGGGCGAAAGCCUGACGGAGCAACGCCGCGUGAGUGAUGAAGGUCUUCGGAUCGUAAAACUCUGUUAUUAGGGAAGAACAAAUGUGUAAGUAACUAUGCACGUCUUGACGGUACCUAAUCAGAAAGCCACGGCUAACUACGUG